rnacentral:rRNA from 1 species
GACGUAGGGCGCGAGCGUUGUCCGGAUUUAUUGGGCGUAAAGAGCUCGUAGGCGGCUUGUCGCGUCGAAUGUGAAAUCUCGGGGCUCAACUCCGAGCUUGCAUUCGAUACGGGCAGGCUAGAGUUCGGUAGGGGAGACUGGAAUUCCUGGUGUAGCGGUGAAAUGCGCAGAUAUCAGGAGGAACACCGGUGGCGAAGGCGGGUCUCUGGGCAGUAACUGACGCUGAGGAGCGAAAGCGUGGGGAGCGAACAGG